rnacentral:lncRNA from 12 species
AUGAGGUACUUUCUGUCACGGGGAUGGUUUGAGUCCUGCAGGCGGAAGUAUGUCAUUUUGCCUGGGAAGGCUUCAUUCCUGGACUGGAUGUGGAAGGAUGGGAACCUUUUCUGGAACAAUCCAAUCCAACCCCCAAAUUCCAGCAAGCCUCUGAUCCCCUCCUUGCCCCGUACAAUCUUCCAUGUCAGCUGUUAUAUCCAGGGAUGGUCAGCUUCCUCUUCCUGCCACCCCUGCCUCCCCUGCAGCCAGUUAAAUGGUGUGCACUUCAUUGAACUGGUCUCAAGGCAGUGUACAGGUAAGCCCUGGAUGCCUCCAUGCCUCAGCCCCACUCCCAGGGAGACCAAAAGCCUUCAUAAAUCUUCAACUGGGGGGACAAAAAACAGGUGCCGUGACGGCAGAACAUUCAAAAUAAAACAAAAAGAACAAGUAUUAAGGCAAAGAUUUAAAAAAAUUUGGACUACAUAA